GAAAACCAAAUGACCAUCACAGAGCAGCAGCCUGGGGAGAAGCCUGGGCACCAGUUACCCUGAAAGAAGAGUGGGGUUGAAGAACAGCCCGGGAGGGGUUGAAGAUGCUGUACUGAUGACUAGUAUUGUGGUGGACAUUGGGACACUAAUCCCACUGACUACACGUGACUGGACUGAAGGGCUGAAUCUCUAAAAGAACCAGACCACUACAGGGGCUGAAUGGCCAUCAGAAGGCAGUGAUUGAAAGGAUGGUCCUGCAAGACUGUGCCCAGGCAUGAUGGGUCUCGUCAGCUGGACCCGUUUCCCUGUGUGUAAUGGAUGGAGAAACUUCUCAUAGUCUGCAGGCAAUCGGUCGUAAAAACUUCGCUCGGAAGAUUAAUGCACUUGUGAGAGGCGCUGCUCAGUGACAAGAACAUAAGAUCAGGACACAAAACCCAGCAAAUACAUAUAAAACUGCUGUAAAAUGGAAGAAGUGUCUGGGUGAGAGAGUUCAAGAACAGACGUCCCAA